GGUCCGUUGGUCUAGCGGUUAUGACGUCAGGUUUUGAGGAUCCCCUACCUCUUCCCUCCUGAAUGUCGCCGGUUCAAUCCCGGCACGGACCU